rnacentral:rRNA from 1 species
GAGGAACCAUGAAUUUUAGUAAGUUAAUAACUCCUAUUAAUUUAUUUAUGUGGUGGCACAAAAUCGGAAGCCCCGACUGUUUACUAAAAACACAACUAUCUGCAAUUAUGAAAAUAAUAGUAUAGGUAGUGAGAUUUGCCCAAUGCCAUAUCAAUAAGUAAUAAUAAUGGGUAACUGUUUCUUUACAAAAAAUUGGUUAAUAGCGGUCUUAACUAUGAGGAUCCUAAGGUAGCAAAAUAAAUUGGCCAUUAAAUGUGGUCCAGUAUCAAUAAUUUAACGAUGGCUUCACUGUCUCUACAACUUGCUCAGUGAAAUUGAAUUACCCGUGCAGAUGCGGGUUACCUCAAAGAGGACGGGAAGACCCUAUGCAGCUUCUA